rnacentral:rRNA from 1 species
CAAUAGCGUAUAUUAAAGUUGUUGCAGUUAAAAAGCUCGUAGUUGGAUUUGUGGUUCGUCCCGCCGGCUGGGUCAUUGACCUUUGCUGUGCUGGUCGUCCAUCCUUGGGUGGAAUCUGUGUGGCAUUAGGUUGUCGCGCAGGGGAUGCCCAUCGUUUACUGUGAAAAAAUUAGAGUGUUCAAAGCAGGCUUAUGCCGUUGAAUAUAUUAGCAUGGAAUAAUGAUAUAGGACCUUGGUACUAUUUUGUUGGCUUGCGCACUGAGGUAAUGAUUAAUAGGGACAGUUGGGGGUAUUCGUAUUCCAUUGUAAGAGGUGAAAUUCUUGGAUUUUUGGAAGACGAACUACUGCGAAAGCAUUUACCAAGGAUGUUUUCAUUA